UUCCCUCUAUGUGACUAUCCUCUUUCUAAAACUGAUAAAUAAUCACAUCUUAUUUUCCCAUGUUUCAGGUAUCACACAUUAUUGUUCUGGGUCAGUGAGAUUGUUGCUUGCAGUUGUGGGAUGAGGUGAAGGGCCAGCAUUUUGUGUCACGUAGGUUCCCAUUUUGAAGACUUUUCAAUUGUUGUUAUUUGAAUGUGUGAAGAUAUUGGAUGAGAGUUGGACUCUGGUGAGACAAGGGAAGAAAAGUUGCCAUCUCAUUGGGUAUUAUUGGGUUUCAACUGUCAAUGGAAUGCAAUAAAGAGGAGGCCAUUAGAGCAAAAGAAAUUGC
rnacentral:misc_RNA from 1 species